GCGACCAUGGCGCACUCGGCAGCGCGUAAGUCUCAUAAUCUUAAGGUCGUGAGUUCGUGAGUUCGAGCCUCACUGGUCGCA